rfam:Triticum aestivum genome assembly, contig: Triticum_aestivum_CS42_TGACv1_scaffold_290021_4AL
UUUGUACUCCCUCCGUCCGAAAAUAUUUGUCAUCAAAAUGGAUAAAAAGAGAUGUAUCUAGAUGUUUAAAUACAUAUCUUUUUAUCCAUUUUAAUGACAAGUAUUUCCGGGGAUGGAGGAGUAUUUC